GAGUUAUAUGAAAGGAGGAAAGGUUAGUACUCCCUUGACAGAGAUGCACGAAGCCCUUGGCCUGACAACACACAUAUGGUUAAGGCAUUUCCAGCUCCUUUGUAACAUCUAACCACUGUUUUUG
ensembl:snRNA